GAAGGUAUAGCUCAGUGGUAGAGUGCAUGCCUUGCAUGUACAAGGUCCUGAGUUCAAUCCCCAGUACCUCCA
rnacentral:tRNA from 1 species